UGGGGAAUCUUGCACAAUGGGCGCAAGCCUGAUGCAGCAACGCCGCGUGCGGGAAGACGGCCCUAGGGUUGUAAACCGCUUUCAGGAGGGAAGAAAAUGACGGUACCUCCAGAAGAAGGUGCGGCCAACUACGUGCCAGCAGCCGCGGUGACACGUAGGCACCAAGCGUUGUCCGGAAUUAUUGGGCGUAAAGAGCUCGUAGGCGGUCCGUUGCGUCUGCCGUGAAAACCCGGAGCUCAACUCCGGGCCUGCGGUGGAUACGGGCGGACUAGAGUCCGGUAGGGGAGACUGGAAUUCCUGGUGUAGCGGUGGAAUGCGCAGAUAUCAGGAGGAACACCGGUGGCGAAGGCGGGUCUCUGGGCCGGAACUGACGCUGAGGAGCGAAAGCGUGGGGAGCGAACAGGAUUAGAUACCCUGGUAGUCCACGCCGUAAAACGGUGGGCGCUAGGUGUGGGGAUCGUUUCCACGAUCUCCGUGCCGUAGCUAACGCAUUAAGCGCCCCGCCUGGGGAGUACGGCCGCAAGGCUAAAACUCAAAGGAA
rnacentral:rRNA from 1 species